rnacentral:rRNA from 1 species
CCAAUAGCGUAUAUUAAAGUUGUUGCAGUUAAAAAGCUCGUAGUUGAAUUUCGGGAUCAAGGAAUCGGUCAUGCCUUGGUAUGUACUGGUUUUAUUGGUUCUCACCUUCUAAAGAACCAUAAUGUCAUUUAUUUGAUGUUAUGGGGAAUUAGGACUGUUACCUUGAAAAAAUUAGAGUGUUUAAAGCAAGCUUACGCUUGAAUACAUUAGCAUGGAAUAAUGAAAUAGGACAUCCGAUUCUAUUUUGUAGGUUUCUAGGAUCGAUGUAAUGAUUAAUAGGGAUAGUUGGGGGCAUUAGUAUUCAAUUGUCAGAGGUGAAAUUCUUGGAUUUAUUGAAGACUAACUACUGCGAAAGCAUUUGCCAAGGAUGUUUUCAUUAAUCAAGAACGAAAGUUAGGGGAUCGAAGACGAUCGGAUACCGUCGUAGUCUUAACCAUAAACUAUGCCGACUAGGGAUCGGAUGAUGUUAAUUUUUUAAUGACUCAUUCGGCGCCUUACG